GUUUCCGUAGGUGAACCUGCGGAAGGAUCAUUAUUGUAUAACCGAGGUGCGAGGGCUGUCGCUGACCCGAAAGGUCGUGCACGCCCGUGUGCCCUCACACACAUCCAUCUCACCCCUAUGUGCACCACCGCGUGGGUCCCCCUUUGGCUUGUUCGGAGGGGGGCUUACGUUUUCACACAAACUUUGUAUGCAGUGUAGAAUGUAUUUUUUGUUUUUGCGAUCACGCAAUCAAUACAACUUUCAACAACGGAUCUCUUGGCUCUC
rnacentral:misc_RNA from 1 species